GUCUAUGGCCAUGCCACCCUGAACAAGCCCGAUGUCUGAUCUCAGAAGGUAAGCAGGGUUGGGCCUGAUUAGUACUUGGAUGGGAGGCCACCUAGGAAGACCAGGUGCUGUAGACA
rnacentral:rRNA from 1 species